GCCAUUGUGGUAUAGUGGUUUGCGCAUUGGAUUAUGAUUCUGGAGAUCAGGGUUUGAUUCCCCGCUUGAGCA